GACGAACGCUGGCGGCGUGCUUAACACAUGCAAGUCGAACGAAGUGGCGAACGGGUGAGUAACGCUUAAUCAACCUGCCCUUCAGCGGGGGACAACAGUUGGCAACGACUGCUAAUACCGCAUACUGAAGGAGGGGAUUGCGUCUGAUUAGCUAGUUGGAGGGGUAACGGCCCACCAAGGCGAUGAUCAGUAGCCGGGCUGAGAGGGUUAACGGACACAUUGGGAAUUGGACACGGCCCAGACUCCUACGGGAGGCAGCAAUGGGGAAGCUUCCGCAAUGGACGAAAGUCUGACGGAGCAAAGCCGCGGGAGUGAUGAGGGGCUUCGGGUUGUAAAGCUCUGUUAAUCGGGACGAGGUACCGGAAGAGAAAGCCACGGCUAACUACGUGCCAGCAGCCGCGGUAAUAC
rnacentral:rRNA from 1 species